GUCUAUGGCCACACCACCUUGAAUGCACCCAAUCUUGUCUGAUCUCAGAAGCUAAGCAGGGUUGGGCCUGGUUAGUACUUGGAUGGGAGAAAUGUCAACAAAUAAAGAAUAACUCCACUGAGAAAUGGACA
rnacentral:rRNA from 1 species